rnacentral:rRNA from 1 species
AACGAACGCUGGCGGCAUGCCUAACACAUGCAAGUCGAACGCCAUGGUUUCGGCCAUGGAGUAGCGCACGGGUGAGUAACGCGCGGGAACCUGCCCAGCAGUAUGGGACAACCGCGGGAAACUGCGGCUAAUACCGUAUACGCCCGUCUUUGGGAGACCAGGGGCGGGGAAAGAUUGAUCGCUGUUGGAGGGGCCCGCGUCGGAUUAGGUAGUGGGUGGGGUAAAGGCCUACCAAGCCUGCGAUCCGUAGCUGGGCUGAGAGGAUGAUCAGCCACACUGGACCUGGGACACGGCCCAGCUUCCUACGGGAGGCAGCUGUGGGGAAUAUUGGGCAAGGGGCGCAAGCAUGAUCCAGCAAUGCCGCGUGAGUGAUGAAGGCCUGAGGGUUGUAAAGCUCUUUCACACGCGACGAUGGUGACGGUAGCGUGAGAAGAAGCCCCGGCUAACUCCGUGCCAGCAGCCGCCGUAACAC